GGAAACACAACAUGAUGGAACUCAAUUGAUCCAAAUUUGAGAGAAAUUAACUUUUGUAAAAAAUAGGAUUUUUUUUGGAUCCUGGUUUUUUCCCCCUAUAAAAUUGCAAGCCUGCAAGUCGGAUUUAAAAGUUCGAUACCUCCUUCUCCCUGGAAAAGAGAAACCUCUUUCUCAGAAAGAUGCCAUCAACAAGGAUAAUGGACAAUAUAAAAGGAAUCCAGGAAGAGAAGUAAAGGAGCAGGAACAGUUGCAUCAGGAAGAAGCAAGUCAAAGAGAGAGGGGAGGGGAGAGUGGAGGAGAGAGCUGAUAGUGUCUCCACAACAGUUGGGGAAUGUGAGAGCUUGGGGCUGUUCCAGACCAGCCAUGGCUUUGAAGGGCCUCCUUUCCAUGCAUCCCACUGCUGACAGGACUGUGAGCAUGAGGCACUUUUCAGUCUUCCUUUGGUCGCAAGAUGACAGUGAGAAUGGAUUGUCAAACUGGACCACUAUGACAAUUUACUCUGGGGGAGAAAAUCCUGUGGGUGUUCAGAAGCUUUACUGUAAGUUAUAUUUGAUUAACUUAUCCUACUACUGACAAAUAAUUAGGUCAGCAAUUAAUUUCAAAAUGCAAAUGUGCUACAGGCCUUCAUAUUUUAAGAAAUUCCCUUUGUCUUUAGCUUCUACUUGUGUUGAAGUCUUAAUGGAUUUAGCUGAAUGAAGAAACAAAAUUAUGUUUUCUAAUGCUUUAUUUACUUGGUUGAGUUGGACUUUUUCAGCAAAUAUUGACAGCAAAUGUUUGUUCAGAAAUGAUCAUGUGGGAUGGAAUUAAUGGGGUAAGAAAAUGGAAGAGUAAUGAUGAACCACUCAUUUAAAAUAUAUAUACAUAUAUACAUAUAUACAUAUAUAUAUAUAUAUAUAUAUAUAUUCACAUUUCUGCUGCAAAAUAUUUAUCUACCUUCAUGAAAUAGGAACAGAAAGAAAAACAAGGGUCAAGAGGAGAUCAUUGUGGCAAAUUCAAUAGUACCUGCUUAAGCAGUCUAAGAAACCAGGAUAUAUCAUAAAAAACUCAUACCUAACAUUGAUACAAGUGUGUCUCAAAGAUACCUAUCUACCAGCCUUUCUCAGGGACUUUAUUAUUAAACAAACACAGAUUAAAGGCUCAACCCUUCCCAAGAGAAAUUCAAGGGAGUUUUAUGUUGACUUUAAGGGAGUGAGGAACCUAAGUCUGUAUUUUCUGUGAUUAAAAUCAUGCCAUUUUUUAGAAAAUAUUCAAAAUAUGCUGCUGUAAACAAAACCAACCAGCUAUCCUGAUUUACAAUCGAAAUGAAUUUACAUAGGUGGAAGAAUUAUAUUAGAAUUUUCUAUGUGUUAUUUUGCCCAAAUAUUUCAAGUCAAGCAGAAUAACCACUCAAAAAUUAGGUGAGGGUUUUUCACAAAAUUUUUACUGACUUGAAGAAAAAAAAAAUUAUAUGCUUAAUGAUGCAAGCCAAUUUGAAAGAAAUAAUGGUUUAAAAAAAGUCAGGUUUUGAGUUUUCUGGGCCUUUUUGGUUCAAAAUGGUGCUUUCACAUCACAUUUGCUUAAAUUAGUAAUGAAAAUAAUUACAUGAGAAAAAGAAAAAAACAGAAGAAAGAUAAAACUAAACAUUGCAUUUUUUAGGGGAUUUUAAUUUUAGAAUGAAAAAAGAGGGAGAAAGGGAAGAAUUGCAUGGGGUCAAAUGUGUCUCAUGCAUGGAAAAAGCUUGAUUUCCAUUCUCCUCCAAAACACCCAGGACCCUCUUUUCCUCUUAAGCAUCUCCUGAAGAACUUUGAAGAUUCCACUACGUAGGAGCAGGCAACACAAAACUGAAGCUUGAUUUUGAAUGAGGGAGAACCUCUCUCUCCCUCUCUCUUUCUCCUCCCAGAGUUAUAGGAAAGAAAAUGAGAACCAUAUCUGGGUGAGAGGGCUGAGCUGUUGGGAGCUGAGCAGCCAGAAGCUUUCUUGUAAGAUAAAGCAACAAUCAUGCUGCUCAGCUGUACACUGACAGGGACCCCAUUAAAGAAUCACUUUUCAAAAAAGAUACAGCUGCCUUCAAAAGCAUCCUAAGGAGAGAAGUGGAAAUGAUCAGAAAUUUGGGAAAUGUCACCUGCAAAGAAAUCUGAACUGGGGUGAUUUCAUCUGGAAAAGAAAAUGAGUGGACAUAAAACCCAAAUACUUCUAAUGUUAAAAGCCUUCUGGGAAGAGGCAGGGAAGAGUUUGUGUUUCAGGACUACAGCCAGAUGACAGAAAGUGACAGUACUACAUUGAAACAAAGGAGUCAGAUCAAAUGCUGGCCAAAAUUUUCUCACAGUGAAGACAUCGAAGCUGUGGAAAUUAUUGUUUUUGGAGGGUCUGGAGUCCCCCUCACUGAAGACCUUUGAGAAUAGGCUGCACAAGCUACUUUCCAAAAUAAUGUGAAUAUAGUUUUUAGCUGAAACCAAUUCCUUAGCAGUUAUUACAUUGAUAUUUUUAAUUGAUUUUAAGAAAUUGAAGGAACUCUUGCUUUUGUGGUAGGAUAAAAUAAACUUUUAAGUUAAUCUAGGGCA
rnacentral:lncRNA from 1 species